AAUGAACGCUGGCGGCGUGCUUUACACAUGCAAGUCGAGCGAGGCGGCCCGCAAGGGUCAGUCGAGCGGCGAACGGGUGAGUAACGCGUGGAUAACCUGCCCAGAGGUGGGGGAUAACCCGGGGAAACUCGGGCUAAUACCGCAUAUGACCGUGAGGUCAAAGGCGGCUCGCAAGAGCUGUCGCCAUUGGAGGGGUCCGCGUACGAUUAGCUAGUUGGUAGGGUAAUGGCCUACCAAGGCGACGAUCGUUAGCCGGCCUGAGAGGGUGAUCGGCCACACUGGAACUGAGACACGGUCCAGACUCCUACGGGAGGCAGCAGUGGGGAAUUUUGCGCAAUGGGCUAACGCCUGACGCAGCAACGCCGCGUGGAGGAUGAAGGUCUUUGGAUUGUAAACUCCUGUCAGCAGGGAAAAAGCAAACCUGACCUCAUACGUCAGGAAGUUGAUUGUACCUGCAGAGGAAG
rnacentral:rRNA from 1 species